GACGAACGCUGGCGGCGUGCUUAACACAUGCAAGUCGAACGGAAAGGCCUGCUUUCCCUUGUGGAUUGCGGGUACUCGAGUGGCGAACGGGUGAGUAACACGUGAGUGAUCUGCCCCCAACUUGGGUAUAAGCCUGGGAAACUGGGUCUAAUUCCCGAUAGGACUGCAGGGUGGUGCCUGUGGUGGAAAACGAUUUUCUAGUGGUUGGGGAUGAGCUCGCGGCCUAUCAGCUUGUUGGAGGGGUAAUGGCCUACCAAGGCGGCGACGGGUAGCCGGCCUGGGAGGGGGGACGGCCACAUUGGGACUGAGAUCCGGCCCAGACUCCUACGGGAGGCAGCAGUGGGGAAUAUUGCACAAUGGGCGGAAGCCUGAUGCAGCGACGCCGCGUGGGGGAUGACGGCCUUCGGGUUGUAAACUCCUUUCGACCGCGAGGAAGCCACCUGGUUGGAAGGGUGGUGACGGUAGUGGUAGAAGAAGCACCGGCUAACUACGUG
rnacentral:rRNA from 1 species